rnacentral:rRNA from 1 species
GGCGGCGUGCCUAACACAUGCAAGUCGUACGAGAAAGUCGGCUUCGGCUGAUGAGUAAAGUGGCGCACGGGUGAGUAACGCGUGGAUAAUCUGCCUUUUAGUUGGGAAUAACGUACCGAAAGGUGCGCUAAUACCGGAUAAUACUGAGCAACUACUGUUGCUUAGUCAAAGAAGGCCUCUGUUUACAAGCUUUUGCUGAAAGAUGAGUCCGCGUACCAUUAGCUAGUUGGUAGGGUAAUGGCCUACCAAGGCUACGAUGGUUAGCUGGUCUGAGAGGAUGAUCAGCCACACUGGAACUGAGACACGGUCCAGACUCCUACGGGAGGCAGCAGUGAGGAAUAUUGCGCAAUGGGGGCAACCCUGACGCAGCAACGCCGCGUGAGUGAGGAAGGUUUUCGGACCGUAAAGCUCUGUCGAGUGGGAAGAAAUGUAUCGUGGCUAAUAUCCAUGAUACUUGACGGUACCGCUAAAGGAAGCACCGGCUAACUCCGUG